rnacentral:misc_RNA from 1 species
UUUCCGUAGGUGAACCUGCGGAAGGAUCAUUAUCGAAUAUUCACUGGGUUAGAGCUGUCGUUCACACGCAUGUUCACGCACUGCUCAGCGACUCUACACCUAUGCACUUACUCUCUGUAUCAAUUCGUGCAUCGGGCUCUUUUACCGUAGCUUGUGAAGCGGGUCUGUGCCUCCCUUUAUCUCAAACACUAUAAUGUAUCGGAAUUUGUAUUACUAUGAAAACGCUAUCUAUACAACUUUCAACAACGGAUCUCUUGGCUCUCACAUCGAUGAAGAACG